ACCAUCGCCCCCUGGCGGCCUCUCUCUGAGCGCGCUCCCGUGGGGCCGUGGGAAACAGCGUUCGUUCGUGCGAAAUGGAGUUCGCUUCGUUUCACUUCCCACCAAGAACCAAACCUGCCACAUAGUAGGCCUCAGUAUCUGUUGACCUGAAGAGGCACCAGACUGUGGUGGUGACAGCAGAGACUCUGAAGCCAGGACCUGGAUUUGAACACAGCUGUGCAAUAUACUAACUACGUGACCUUGGACAGGUGUUUCUCCAACAGAAAAGUGAACACAAGUGCAUCAAAUGG